UACGAAGGGGGGCUAGCGUUGCUCGGAAUCACUGGGCGUAAAGGGUGCGUAGGCGGGUCUUUAAGUCAGGGGUGAAAUCCUGGAGCUCAACCCCAGAACUGCCUUUGAUACUGAAGAUCUUGAGUUCGGGAGAGGUGAGUGGAACUGCGAGUGUAGAGGUGAAAUUCGUAGAUAUUCGCAAGAACACCAGUGGCGAAGGCGGCUCACUGGCCCGAUACUGACGCUGAGGCACGAAAGCGUGGGGAGCAAACAGGG
rnacentral:rRNA from 1 species